CCUACGGGUGGCAGCAGUGAGGAAUAUUGGUCAAUGGACGAGAGUCUGAACCAGCCAAGUAGCGUGAAGGAUGACUGCCCUAUGGGUUGUAAACUUCUUUUAUAUGGGAAUAAAAUGUUCCACGUGUGGGAUUUUGUAUGUACCAUAUGAAUAAGGAUCGGCUAACUCCGUGCCAGCAGCCGCGGUUAUACGGAGGGUCCGAGCGUUAUCCGGAUUUAUUGGGGUUAAAGGGAUCGUAGGUGGAUUGUUAAGUCAGUUGUGAAAGUUUGCGGCUCAACCGUAAAAUUGCAGUUGAAACUGGCAGUCUUGAGUACAGUAGAGGUGGGCGGAAUUCGUGGUGGAGCGGUGAAAUGCUUAGAUAUCACGAAGAACUCCGAUUGCGAAGGCAGUUCACUGGACUGCAACUGACACUGAGGCUCGAAAGUGUGGGUAUCAAACAGGAUUAGAUACCUGGGUAGUC
rnacentral:rRNA from 1 species